GGGGAUGACAGGUUUCGACGAUGUGAGUCGCGACAGGGGAAGCGGGCCGAGGAUGCAGGGUCAUCUCGUCAACGCUCUCUGCAAAACAACAAGUGCCAAUUCUAAGCGCACUGACUUCGCUCUCGCUGCCUGAGCAGCCAGAAUGAGUCCGUCAGCCCGGGGAUGCUCCCGCCCCGGUGACUGGCGUCGAUUAGGGGGCCACUGCUCUCAGUCCUCGCCGUAGGGACUGAGGGGACACUCAUACGGCUGGGCCCGGGUCAGCCACCUGUCUGCAGGAUGGCUGGGGCCGAGUAACACCCGACGCAGACUGCGCCCGGAGAAGUCCUGACAACACCACACCGGACGGGGGUUCGAUUCCCCCCAUCUCCACUC
rfam:Tersicoccus sp. Bi-70 scaffold11_cov1166_read202, whole genome shotgun sequence.